rnacentral:rRNA from 1 species
UACGGUAGGGGCAAGCGUUGUCCGGAUUUAUUGGGCGUAAAGAGCGUGUAGGCGGCUUUACAGGUCCGUUGUGAAAACUCGAGGCUCAACCUCGAGACGCCGGUGGAAACCGUAAAGCUAGAGUCCGGAAGAGGAGAGUGGAAUUCCUGGUGUAGCGGUGAAAUGCGCAGAUAUCAGGAGGAACACCCGUGGCGAAAGCGGCUCUCGUGGGACGGUACUGACGCUGAGACGCGAAAGCGUGGGGAGCAAACAGG